rnacentral:misc_RNA from 1 species
GCUCUCCCUUUUGCUUUCUGCUGAGAGAAGGAAGAAUCAGAAAACAAGAAUGGCGGCCUCGGCUAUGGUUCUCGACCCGAAAUCCUCAUUGGAGCCGCCGGCAUCGUUCCCCUCGAUGAGAUCUGAUCUCCAAGGCUUGGCGGAACAGUCCUCCGACGAGGAUGACCUCUACAGCCGUCUAAAAUCGCUGCAGCGGCAGCUGGAGUUCAUCGACAUUCAAGAAGAAUACGUGAAGGAUGAACAGAAGAACUUGAAGCGCGAGCUUCUACGAGCACAGGAAGAGG